GACGAACGCUGGCGGCGUGCCUAAUACAUGCAAGUCGAGCGAAUGGAAGGGAGCUUGCUCCCUGAAGUUAGCGGCGGACGGGUGAGUAACACGUGGGCAACCUGCCUGUAAGACUGGGAUAACUUCGGGAAACCGGAGCUAAUACCGGACACGUUCUUUCCUCGCAUGCGGAAAGAUGGAAAGAUGGUUUCGGCUAUCACCUACAGAUGGGCCCGCGGCGCAUUAGCUAGUUGGUGGGGUAAUGGCCCACCAAGGCGACGAUGCGUAGCCGACCUGAGAGGGUGAUCGGCCACACUGGGACUGAGACACGGCCCAGACUCCUACGGGAGGCAGCAGUAGGGAAUCUUCCGCAAUGGACGAAAGUCUGACGGAGCAACGCCGCGUGAGCGAAGAAGGCCUUCGGGUCGUAAAGCUCUGUUGUCAGGGAAGAACAAGUGCCAGAGUAACUGCUGGCACCUUGACGGUACCUGACCAGAAAGCCACGGCUAACUACGUGCCAGCCGCCGCCGUAAUAC
rnacentral:rRNA from 1 species